rnacentral:rRNA from 1 species
UGACUGGGGCUAAGUCGUAACAAGGUAGCCGUACCGGAAGGUGCGGCUGGAACACCUCCUUU